rnacentral:rRNA from 1 species
CAUGUAGGCGGAUUAAUAAGUUUGAAGUGAAAUCCUAUAGCUUAACUAUAGAACUGCUUUGAAAACUGUUAAUCUAGAAUGUGGGAGAGGUAGAUGGAAUUUCUGGUGUAGGGGUAAAAUCCGUAGAGAUCAGAAGGAAUACCGAUUGCGAAGGUGAUCUACUGGAACAUUAUUGACGCUGAGAUGCGAAAGCGUGGGGAGCAAACA